CAUCUCGCCUAUCCUCUUAUAGAAGGAGGUAUCUCAUAGGAUCUUACUCACAGGAAGAAGUUCAAGACGAAUAAGUAAGGGGAUAGGUAUGCCCUUUCUCAUUAUAUGGUUUUGGAAUAUGCCAUUCCCGCUAAAGAAACCUGAUCCGCGCAUCUUGAUACCGAUCCGUAUUCGCUUUCAGUUGAGGUGGAAUCUCUGGGUGAAAGCCUUUCCCCAAACCCUAACCUAACUUCGAAGAAAGCCGGUAACCUCCCGCCUCUCAAUCUAAAGAAGAAGCUUUCCUCUCCGGCAUUGCCAUUCCCCUCGAUCGGAACCAUUUUAGUCUCGUAAUCAAUCUAAAGAAGACGCUUUCCUUUCCGGCAUUGCCAUUCCCCUCUAUCGGAACUAUUUUAGUCUCGUACCAAAGCUCCUAUCCCUGCCACUUUAGUACCAUCGGGCAAGCAUCUUCUCUCUCUUCUGAUAUGAGAUGGGGAGGAUCCGCAACAACUAGAAGUCGAUCAUCUUGUCCCCGCUCCCUUUUUGUUUACUCGAUCUGGGUAUGCCCUUUCUCUUUAGUUAGCUUCGUGGGAAUCCCGGAUCUCUGUCUUAAGCUUCCCGCCCUGCUCCUGAUUCCGUUCCCGUGGCACCUUUAUCCGGCCUAAGCCUAAACCUCUUCAAGCUUGCCUGCCCUCAGUCUCCGGACAAGCUUGAGUUCUUUCCUUCCCUAGGGAAUAUCCUUUUUAGUUAGUUAGAUUGAUCCUAUCCUAUCUGCUUCUUAGCUUAGUCGAAAGCUAGAGAUUGAUUCGAAGUAAACCUGAUCCGCGCAUCUUGAUACCGAUCCGUAUUCGCUUUCAGUUGAGGUGGAAUCUCUGGGUGAAAGCCUUUCCCCAAACCCUAACCUAACUUCGAAGAAAGCCGGUAACCUCCCGCCUCUCAAUCUAAAGAAGAAGCUUUCCUCUCCGGCAUUGCCAUUCCCCUCGAUCGGAACCAUUUUAGUCUCGUACCAAAGCUCCUAUC
rnacentral:lncRNA from 1 species